CGCAUGCUCGCGCGAGAGCCCGAAGCGCGCGUGCUGAUUUUCAGCGUGCAUGAAGAGACGCUCUUCGUGCGCCGCGCGUUCGAUGCCGGUGCGUGCGGC
rnacentral:tRNA from 1 species